GACGAACGCUGGCGGCGUGCUUAACACAUGCAAGUCGAACGGAAAGGCCCUGCUUUUGUGGGGUGCUCGAGUGGCGAACGGGUGAGUAACACGUGAGUAACCUGCCCUUGACUUUGGGAUAACUUCAGGAAACUGGGGCUAAUACCGGAUAGGAGCUCCUGCUGCAUGGUGGGGGUUGGAAAGUUUCGGCGGUUGGGGAUGGACUCGCGGCUUAUCAGCUUGUUGGUGGGGUAGUGGCUUACCAAGGCUUUGACGGGUAGCCGGCCUGAGAGGGUGACCGGCCACAUUGGGACUGAGAUACGGCCCAGACUCCAACGGGAGGCAGCAGUGGGGAAUAUUGCACAAUGGGCGGAAGCCUGAUGCAGAAACGCCGCGUGCGGGAUGACGGCCUUCGGGUUGUAAACCGCUUUCGCCUGUGACGAAGAGUGAGUGACGGUAAUGGGUAAAGAAGCACCGGCUAACUACGUG
rnacentral:rRNA from 1 species